UAUGUCAAAAUAAAUGAAAUACAAACAUUCAAAUUUUCAAUUAUAUUAUUUGUAUUAUUACAAAAAUAGCUCAUGCUGUUUUCUUAUAUAAAUUAUAGUAUAUAAAAUAGUUUAUUUCAUGUCAAUUAUUUGUCUAUAAAGAAUUAAAGUCAGCAUGAUAAGUACAUAAGUGAAUUAUAGUCACCAUUUAUAACAUGAGCAAACAAUUCUUCAGGAGUUUCUCCAAAAAAAGGAACACAUCCAAUAAGAAAUUCAUAUAAGAUGAUUCCCAUGGACCACCAAUCAACAGGUUUCCCUGUUUAAAAAGAAAGAGAAGCCCUGACGAAGUAUAACUUCUGGAGCAAUAUAUUCUGGAGUGCCAUAUACUUGCUUGUCAUUGAACUGUUUAGUUUCUCUAUCAAGAUAACCCUCAUAGAGAUUAGUUGCCACUAUAAGAAGACUUCGAGAUCGAGGACGUAUCAAAGGAGAUCUCUGCCCAUCAUCUUCAAAUCCAAGAUUGCUUUCGUUACUGCUGAAAUGUGAAGCUUGGUUGUUUUCAUCAGGUGUUGGAGUUGAUUGAUUUGGAAGAGGAUGUAACUUUUCCUGUGAUGAACACUGAGACUUGGGAGAGAUGGACAGAGUGGGCUUCAGAAAAACUACAGAAGUAACAGCUUUUACUGCUCCCAUCUGCUUCAAAGAAUAUCAACCAGAUGAACAUUUGGGAUAAACGUUCAUAAUGAGAUGGUUGCAGAAAUCGAAUCCAGAUCGUCCUUCUUCCUCGAUUUCCCAACGUUUCGCCUAAUGUCUCUGAAAACAAAAGGAGCGAUCACCCACUUGAGAACGGAGUAUCCUAAUUAUUAAUAGAUGAACGCAUUACUUCGUCUUAAAGGAGCAGCAUUUGCUCCACCCUGUGAUGGAUAGCAUACGGAUAAAAACAUGCUAUAUCGUCUACUUAAUUUCUUCAAGUCUCAAUGUCACACGCAAUUUACCAAUCGAUAAAAUGGGGGAGAACUGGAAUUACGUCAUUAAUAAAGUUACGACAAGUUUUAUCGCCAAUAAUCUAUACUGUAAAGUAUAUAAAUUAUUAUAUAUAAUUGCUGAAAUUUAUGAUCGGUAAAAAAAAAAAAGUCGUUUAAAAAUUCUUAAUGAAAUGAAAUUCGGAUUAAAAUAAUUUUAAAAAAGUAAAUAAAGAGAAGUCAAAAAGAACCCAGAUUACUCAUAUAUUUUCGUGUUUUUUUUUUCUUCCGCAAAGUACGACUUCGCCGCAGCAUUCUAUCAAAACUCAGAAGUGCAACAUCGGAUUUUCUUAGUAAAUGACACACGAGUUUCCAAAAAAACAACACACUUAAGUAGUAAAAAUAGCUUCUCAUUUAGCAACUAAACUUGUUUUGCGGAAAUGUCAAUAUAUUGAGAAACUUUCUUAGGCUUCCAACUUUUCGACCAUCGCAAAAAAAGAAAUAAUAUUGUUUU